AUGCUACUAUCUGAUGGAGUUUCCUUAGGUAGCCACCGACCUACAGUUCUCCUUAAACUUCUGUGCUUGGUGGAAAAGAAGCGAACAAAGGUACGCUUGCUUGCUGUCUUGUUCUCUGCCGCGGACUAGGAUCGCUCGCCAGCUAGGCCCUCUAGAAAAAAGUUGGAGCAACAUUGUAUGAGAACAUAUUACCCAUCUUCGCGGAUAAGGGGCUGAACGAGGUGCGGCUAG
rnacentral:rRNA from 1 species